AUGCCCGAGCCUCACUUAAGCUUUCUCUCCUCUCGAAGCUCGACCUUCAAGCUCCAUUUUCCUCAUGAUUUGUCUAGGUUUGGCGAUGCACCAACUAUCCAAGUGGUCUACAAAGGGCGUUGUCCCGUCUCCGUGCUCGUCGUCCUCACCCCCGUCGAUCGCCCGUGCCGAUCUCGCGCCGGCACCACCGUGGCCAUGGUUUUGGUAUCCGGCCCCGUCGGCUCUCACCCGGUCUAUGAUUCAGAUGUGAUGAACCGACAAUGGACAUACGGUGACCGAUGCACUUCAGAGUACAUUACGGGCCUGCGUAUUUUUCUCGGUGUGGCUCAGGCAACCAAGAAGAAUGGUUUUAUGUACUGUCCAUGUGUUCACUGUGGGAAUAUGAAGAAUUACUCUUCCUCGAAAACCUUUCACAUCCACCUGCUUGAGAAGGGUUUCAUGUCCAACUAUUAUGUUUGGACCAAGCACGGAGAAAGAGGUGUUAUGAUGGAAGACAAUGAAGAAAAAGAAGAUGAUGAAAACUAUCCAGAUCCUAUAUUCCCUGAAUACGGUGAUACUGCAACGAGGGAAGCUAAAGAUCAAGAGGCACCAGUUGUGCCGGAUGAUGAUCUUCGCCAGGUCAUUUCUGAUGCAUAG
rnacentral:rRNA from 1 species